GUCGCAUCGCCAUUUGUAUCCAUCCGAGUAAGGGUACAUUCAUCGGACCAGUUCUUCCUUCAGUUUUAGCAGUGGCUUCCAUACCGAAUCUAGGCUCUUCCUUUGGUGAUCAAAUAAGAAUCGCUUAUUACACUAGCGUGUUUUUUAUAAAGGAGAUAAACUAAUGUUACUCUACAAGGAGAUUACACAGGCAAAUAUGGACUUCUUAGUUUCCUGGUUGGGCAAUAUGCAAAACAGGAGUUAUAAAGAAGGGAGGGUAUGAUAGGAUUUGCAUGCGGUUUUCUCCCACAUCGUCUGCAAAGCAAAAAACUGUUCUUUUGUUAAUCUAUUUAGCGGUCUCUACUUAUGAACUUCAACACAGCUAUGGGGCCCACCUAAGUGCGGGCCCUUGAUGGCUCACAUUACCUUGUUGGAAGGUCCUUCCAAUGAGUUGCAGUAUGCUGCAAAUCUUGUCUGCGCGUUUGCUGGAAAGUAGGGAUCCAGGAAGUAGUCCACACUAUCAACCGUGCAUUUGCACAUGAAGCACCAUGCGUCAGCUGACAGAUGUGAUCCUUCACGCUCUCAUGUUCUCGGCUGUCAGCAUCGGACCCAAGUUGCGACCCAAGGAAGUAGCCUACAUUCUCAACUGUGAUUUUGCACAUGAAGCACCAGGUGAAAGCUGACACAUUCUGAUCCUUCGUGUUCUCGGCUGUCAGCACUGGACUGAAGCUGCAGACCAAGCUAAUAAACACACCUUUCACGGCGUUUGCUUAGGUUGGAACAAGCAUUGUUCUUCAUUUAUCACCCUACUUUGUGGGAUUAUAUUUGGAAGCAGUCCACAUUGUCAAUUGUGCAAUUGCACAUGAAGCACCAAGUAACAGCAGUAUAUGUGAUCCUUCGCAUACUCAUCUUCUCGGACAAGUCGUGGUAUAAAUGAGAGGACUUUUUCCUGGAGCCUGGUCAGUAAUACUGGAUUAGGCUGAAUUGGCAAUUAUCCAGGCUGUGGUUGCGAACUUGCUUUCUGUAAGCAAGAUUCCGAUGGAUAAACUUACUGAUACUCCAGCAGUUGUAAAAGGUAUUGAAAUUAGAACCUCAGAUUGGCGGAGUCUCUUAUCAAUCAGUGAUUUUAAGGCCCGUUUGGGAGUCAAAAAGUCCAAUGAACAACUAUGAUCCUUUCCUGAGCAAGUUGGGUUAGUUACAUAAAAAAAA